GAUGAAGAACGUAGCAAAAUGCGAUAAGUAAUGUGAAUUGCAGAAUUCAGUGAAUCAUCGAAUCUUUGAACGCACAUUGCGCCCGCCAGUAUUCUGGCGGGCAUGCCUGUUCGAGCGUCAUUUCAACCCUCAAGGACAGCUUGGUGUUGGGACUCGCGUUAAUUCGCGUUCCUCAAAUUGAUUGGCGGUCACGUCGAGCUUCCAUAGCGUAGUAGUAAAACCCUCGUUACUGGUAAUCGUCGCGGCCACGCCGUUAAACCCCAACUUCUGAAUGUUGACCUCGGAUCAGGUAGGAAUACCCGCUGAACUUAAGCAUAUCAAUAAGCGGAGGA
rnacentral:misc_RNA from 1 species